UGAACAAGAAGGGUUGGUUCCUGGACACUGUAAAGGAUCUUCUCGUGCAGAUCGGGCACUAAACAAAUAUUUCUGAUCACUCUUUCCUCGAUCUUUUCUCUCUCUCAUCUUAUCUUUUGGUGCUACUUAUGAAGUUCUUUUGGCUGGGUCAUGCUACCAUUCCAAUUUUGCUUUGUCUAGCACUAAUUCCUGAUUUCCUAAAUUCC
rnacentral:lncRNA from 1 species